rnacentral:rRNA from 1 species
AGCAGCCGCCGCGGGAAUACGUAGGUGGCAAGCGUUGUCCGGAAUUAUUGGGCGUAAAGCGCGCGCAGGUGGUUUAAUAAGUCUGAUGUGAAAGCCCACGGCUCAGCCGUGGAGGGUCAUUGGAAACUGUUAAACUUGAGUGCAGGAGAGAAAAGUGGAAUUCCUAGUGUAGCGGUGAAAUGCGUAGAGAUUAGGAGGAACACCAGUGGCGAAGGCGGCUUUUUGGCCUGCAACUGACACUGAGGCGCGAAAGCGUGGGGAGCAAACAGGAUUAGAUACCCCAGUAGUCCCUGUCUCUUAUAC